UUAAAAUAAGACUGCUGAGUUGUCUUUCAAUGGUAGUACUGCAGGACAUCAAUUGUAACAAGUUGGGGUAGCAAAAAUGGUUCUGGGUGUCCACGUCUGCCAUGUGGUCUCCAUGACAGGCAGCAGUGCUGGAGCUUCAAGAGGAAGGACAAACCAUUAUUUCUUGCCUUGCUCUAACCUGCAUACCAGGAUCCUGUUCCCUGAGUCAGCCUUGUAGAUGUGGUAACAAGGGUUUAAAAAUGCAAGUGUGAGGGCUGGCCAGACAGACUAGCAAUGACAAGGUUAAACUAUGGAUGUUUAGGAAAUCCAAGCAGGCUGCCUGUGCCACAACAAAGCAAUGCUGGCAGUGGCUACCUGUUUCAGCAGACUUCUCCUUCUGUCUUCCACAGGGCUCAGGGACUCAGCUGUGCCCUGCAAAGCUUCCUGUUUACGAUCGCUCAUCCUCCAAAAACAGCGCACACUCUGCUUCCCACAUCUCUGAAGCCAUACAAGGAUCCAAUAACAUCCUGUGACUUGCCGUCACUGCAGCCCUUGUUUUUCUGAGAACUGACGGGAGAAGGCUCUCACAGGAUUGUUAACAAUUGGUCAUCACCUUUUGGAUGUGUCAGACGACUGAGGACUCCAGGCUUAACUGACAAGGAAACAAUAUCAGCAAAACGUUUGGCCUUUGUUCCUGCCAUAUAUUGGUUCACAGUGUAUUGCAGCAGUUAGUGUGCUUCCUAUGUGGAAGAAACACUUUGAUUUGAGGCUGGAUGUUAUGUAGCCUCCAGAGCGCUGGCUGAACUGGGACAGUAGCAUGGUUCAGUACUGAAUGGUUUUGGCAGUUGCACAGCUUGUCUGCCCCGGUCGUCUCCUCACGGUUACAGCCAAGGUAUGUGUACCAUCUGGAUCCUGCCAACACCACAGCCUCCUGGAGGAGAAAAAAAUCUGGUCUCCAGCUCCCUCUGAAGAGGAGCCCAGAUUACGAUUUUGUUCCUC